UCAGACUGCACUGAGGCGCUCCUGAAGGGGCUGAGGACAAUGACAGCCUGGACAUAGCUACUGAUGAUGACAUACCAGCGGGCGUUCCUCCGAAGCUCUAGCUGCUGAAUCACUCCAGACGGAAAUGACUUCAGGACUGGCCCUUUAAAAAUCGAGCGCGCUACCGGGCAAACUCCUCCUCCAGGGAGGUUCCUUUAAAUGAGAGCCAGCUGGCUGGGCCCCCGCUUUACUCCCAAGCAAUACCUGCAAUCGAGGUUUCCUCCCCAGGAGAUAGCAGCCUGUGAGCAUGGCUCAAGCGUUCGUGAACAGCAAAAUCCAGCCUGGGAAGGUAGUUGUGUUCAUCAAGCCCACCUGCCCCUACAGCAGAAGGGCCCAGGAGCUCCUCAGCCACUUGCCCUUCAAACAAGGGCUUUUGGAAUUUGUCGAUAUCACAGCCCACGGUGACACCAACGAGAUUCAAGACUAUUUGCAACAGCUCACAGGAGCCAGAACGGUACCUCGGGUCUUCAUCGGUCAAGAGUGCAUAGGUGGAUGCAAUGAACUAGUAAAUAUGCAUGCGAAAGGGGAGCUGUUGACACGGCUAAAGCAAAUUGGAGCUCUACAAUAAUUAGAGAACAGACCCCAGGCUGAUAUCCCCCUUGAGAGCUGGAUGGCAUUGCAGAUAAUGACAGCACUUCCUGGUGGAUGGACCUGGGGCUACGUUUACCCAGCUACAGCAACUGUUUACUUAAAAGUUUGAAAUAUGUUAACGCAAAUAAAGUGGGUGGGGGGCAUUCUGGGGGCAAAAACAGCUUUUUCUUCUUUUGACUCAGUAUUAAAAGGGGACCAACUUGCCCAAAACAACAGGUCUGAGAAGUUUGAUGGAUGUCUUGGGUUUCUUGUGGAUUGGCCCUUUGGUUUCCAAAAAGACAAGAUAUGCUUAGGAUUCACUCACUGACCCAAAAGAUGUUCCUUGUCUUUGGCACGUGUUCCUUACUACGUGUUCUCUACGUGCUGGGGCUCCUCUACCUCAACACCAGUGUUUCUCAACCAAGUAUAUCCCAGACCUCCUGGGUCGAAUCUAGAGUUGGUUUUCUGCUACUGUCCAAAGAUUAUUUUGUUGAGUUUGACUUUAUAGAAUUUGUAUUAUGAAAUCAAUAGAUAUUUUGAAUCUGCUUUUUCAAAGGGUGUCUCCCUAGCCGCCAUCCCCACCCCACCUCCUACCCCCUCCUACUGCGAGAAUCACUGCUGUGAACCAGUGUUCUGAACCGUGACAACUCAUAGAUCUCAUAGGAAAUAUUCAACAAUGCCGUGAAGGGUCUGAGCACACAGUCUGAGAGACGCCACUGAAAAGUUAAGCACGGUUGGUCUUCAUUUUGGGCCACACGGAUCAGAGGUAUAAAUGCAGAUGCUAUGAUCACGUGGCAACACUCUGUUACGUAAGAUGGUUGUCCAGGGAAUCCUGAACAAGUGUGUAUUAAUUUGUUUAUAAACAAAAGUAAAACAUAAAAUUUUAAAUGUUACAUAGAAAACUUGUAUCCCCACCUCCAAGAAUAUGUCUGUGAAAGUAGCCAAAUUUGGGGAACUCUGUUCUAAAUGAUUUUCUCUCUCUCCUUUCUUUCCCCCUCACUCUAUGAAAACUUAAGAAUUACUUAUUGUGAAGGUUGUUCUAGAAUUGCAAGAUUAAGUUAAUUUCCCUCUAGAGUCUCUAGUAUGAAUGGUUAAUUUCUUCUCUAAUAAAGAAGUACCCAUGGAUCACA